GAUGAACGCUGGCGGCGUGCCUAAUACAUGCAAGUCGAGCGAGAAGCUACUUUGAAGCGUUUUCGGACAAUUCUGUGUAGUGGAAAGCGGCGGACGGGUGAGUAACGCGUAGGCAACCUGCCCUUAGCAGAGGGAUAGCCAUUGGAAACGAUGAUUAAAACCUCAUAAUGCUGUUGAGACACAUGUUUUAACAGCCAAAGAUUUAUCGGCUAAGGAUGGGCCUGCGUCUGAUUAGGUUGUCGGCGGGGUAACGGCCCACCGAGCCUGCGAUCAGUAGGGGUUCUGAGAGGAAGGUCCCCCACAUUGGAACUGAGACACGGUCCAAACUCC
rnacentral:rRNA from 1 species